rnacentral:rRNA from 1 species
UAGCUGGCCUUCCGAGGCAUGUGCACGCCCUGCCUCAUCCACUCUACACCUGUGCACUUACUGUGGGUUUUACGGGUCGUGACAUGGGCUCGUUUAUUCGGGCUUGUUGAGCGCACUUGUUUGCCUGCGUUUAUCACAAACUCUAUAAAGUAUUAGAAUGUGUAUUGCGAUGUAACGCAUCUAUAUACAACUUUCAGCAACGGAUCUCUUGGCUCUCGCAUCGAUGAAGAACGCAGCGAAAUGCGAUAAGUAAUGUGAAUUGCAGAAUUCAGUGAAUCAUCGAAUCUUUGAACGCACCUUGCGCUCCUUGGUAUUCCGAGGAGCAUGCCUGUUUGAGUGUCAUGAAAUCUUCAAUCUAUAAGCUUCUUAAUUGGAGUUUGUAGUCUUGGACUUGGAGGCUUGUCGGUCCUUUACAGGUCGGCUCCUCUUAAAUGCAUUAGCUUGGUUCCUUGCGGAUCGGCUUGUCGGUGUGAUAAUGUCUACGCCGCGACCGUGAAGCGUGUUUGGGCGAGCUUCUAACUGUCUCGUUAUAGAGACAACUUUAUGACCUCUGACCUCAAAUCAGGUAGGACUACCCGCUGAACUUAAGCAUAUCAAUAAGCGGAGGAAG